GAAUGUUCUUGAAGCUUUUCAAUUGAAAUUUGGGGGUUUCCUUUCUGUUGAUUCUGGGUGUGCAUGGCUUAUACCAUUAGAAAGAGUGUGAAGAGAGGAAUCCGGUGGUGGUGUUGGUUUGAGUGGGGGACGCCGGAGUCGGCUUCGCCGGGAGCUUCAAGAAAGCCGCCGCCGGCGGAGCUUUUGCUCCAUUUUCCGGCCAAUUCCUACGGCCUCUGAUGAUUCUGAGUAUGUGUAUACGAUGCUAGGAGUGUGUAUGAGUGAUCUGGA
rnacentral:lncRNA from 1 species